rnacentral:rRNA from 1 species
GCGGCCUAUCAGCUUGUUGGUGAGGUAAUGGCUCACCAAGGCGACGACGGGUAGCCGGCCUGAGAGGGCGACCGGCCACACUGGGACUGAGACACGGCCCAGACUCCUACGGGAGGCAGCAGUGGGGAAUAUUGGGCAAUGGAGGGAACUCUGACCCAGCGACGCCGCGUGCGGGGUGAAGGCCUUCGGGUUGUAAACCGCUUUCAGCAAGGAAGAAGCGAAAGUGACGGUACUUGCAGAAGAAGCACCGGCUAACUAUGUGCCAGCAGCCGCGGUAAUACAUAGGGUGCAAGCGUUGUCCGGAAUUAUUGGGCGUAAAGAGCUCGUAGGUGGUUCGUCACGUCGGAUGUGAAAAUCUGGGGCUUAACCCCAGACCUGCAUUCGAUACGGGCGAGCUAGAGUGUGGUAGGGGAGACUGGAAUUCCU